rnacentral:rRNA from 1 species
UGGGGAUAUUGCACAAUGGGCGAAAGCCUGAUGCAGCGACGCCGCGUGGGGGAUGAAGUCUUUCGGGUUGUAAACCUCUUUCGCUAUCGAACAAGGCCCGCUUAGGGUGGGUUGAGGGUAGGUGGAGAAGAAGCGCCGGCUAACUACGUGCCAGCAGCCGCGGUAAUACGUAGGGCGCGAGCGUUGUCCGGAAUUAUUGGGCGUAAAGGGCUUGUAGGCGGCUUGUUGCGCCUGCUGUGAAAACGCGGGGCUUAACUUCGCGCGUGCAGUGGGUACGGGCAGGCUUGAGUGUGGUAGGGGUGACUGGAAUUCCAGGUGUAGCGGUGGAAUGCGCAGAUAUCUGGAGGAACACCGAUGGCGAAGGCAGGUCACUGGGCCAUUACUGACGCUGAGGAGCGAAAGCAUGGGUAGCGAACAGG